CCAAAGAGACCAGGACGACUUAGUUUCCUUUUAAUGUGUUUUCACUUGGUCAAAUCUGAGUUUGAUUAAAGGAAACUACCAAAUGUUCCACUUAUAAUGAAAAUAAAUCUCAGUGUACAUCAUGUAGAUGUCUUCAGAGUCAUCAUUCAACAAAUUAAAUUAAAUAUUUAAGAGCAUAAAAGUUAACACCAGUGAAAGAAAAUCUGCUGCCAUUUUCUUGCUAUAAAUACCUGUGCACUAGAAAAAGUCCUAGAGCUGGAUGUCUCCUGUUCUGACUCGUCUGAGCUGAUAUUAGCUAUUGAAUUUCCAUGCUGGACCUGGGAGUAAAACUACAGAAAACACAGCUUUUCUUAGGGUUCUGGUGCUCUAGAACUUCAAACUUCAUGGAUGCUCCAGUAAAUGAAGAACCGUAUUUGAAAUUACUAGUAGUACUGACCAGGCUGAAAAUACUUAGUGAGCAGGGGAAAAUUAAAACUAUUUCCUUCAUUCAGCGGAAUUUAUUGAAGCCUCUUGCAAGCAGUUCUAUGGGGACUCAAGAGAAAAGUUUGCAAGACUUCUUUUCAACAAAACCUGAUUGUGGGAUGGUAACAGGGAGAGAAGGUCAAGACUGUAAAGUAAGGAGCUACCAUCAGAAUAUGGAUUUGGCCUGUGGUUCAUUCCUUUGCCAGGACAAGAAAUUCUUGGAUGAUCAAAAGCAGGGUGCAAGCCAGUUCAUCUGGAUUGUGCAUUAGGACAACAGCAAGCAAAAAUCCCUGCCUAACUGAAGUGACUGGAAACAGGCCAGUGAAGGAACAAGAGCAAUGCUACCUGCCUGGAAGGGCCAGUCCCAGGUCUCAGUCUGGUUGAAAGGCGGUGUGUACAUUGUAACCUUGAAUACUUGAGAGAAUGCACACACUAAGCAGAAGUGUCCCAAAGCCUGUUCUGUGUCUGAGCUGCUCUGUAUGGGCUGGCAUCUCAGGAGGCAGUGCUACCGUGCUGCACUUUAGGACUCGGUAUCUGUGUAUGUCAGAGUAAGGCAACUGUCCCUAGCCUCAAGCUGAUAUGUAUGUAAUUCUGUCUGAACACAAGGAAACUUAUGUAAUGAGAGUGAUUAAACACUGGAAAAGACUGCCUGUAGAGGCUGAAAAUCUCCAUCCUUGUGACUGUUAGACCCAACUGGAGGAGACCAGACUAGAGCUAGACUGCUCUAGCUGAUCCCACUUGAGCAGGCUGCUGCUCUGGAUGAGUUCCUGAAGUCCCUUCCAACCUCACUGUUGUUGUGAUUAUGUGCCUAUGUUACAGAGAUCUUUGGGGUUGAAGAAGGAGA
rnacentral:lncRNA from 1 species